AUGAACAUGCUAGGUGAAGAUCCGCCAAAUAAUGUGAAGCUGCGACAGGCCAGCAGCGGGUUUUGCAGGCUGUGGGACGUGGAGUUGGUGAUCAAGAAGGGCCACAUGUACUUGUGUCGUGGCUGGGAGAAGUUCUACCGUGCCUACGACCUACGGUUGGGGUACUUCCUUCUCUUCAGGUACGACGACGACGCCACCAUGCUCAUCGUGAAGGUGUUCAACGCGACUAUGUGUCGCAUGCACUACGCUAACGACGAUGAUGCCAGCAAUGGGAGCAGUAGCAGCGACACUGGCUACAGCCAAAGCAGCAGCGACACUGACUACAGCGAAAGCAGCAGCGAUUCUGGCUGCAACAAAGACAACAAGGAGGAUGAUCCGGAUUGGAGUGGCGGGGAAGAAGAGGAGCAGAGUGGGCAUCAGGUUGAGGAUGACCUAGCGAUGGUGGUGGCUGACCAAGGGCAGGAGAUGGUGGUGUCUGACCAUGGGCAAGAGUUGGUGGUGGCUGAGGAUGACCUAGCGAUGGUCGUGCCUGUUCUGCCUGAAGAUGGCCUCGCGAUGGUGGUGGUGCCUAACAAUGACCUCGCGCCGGUGGUGGCGUCGGCGAUCCCACAACUGGGUGACAUGACCACGCCAAUUGUGGUAGAAGACUACAUCCCACUGCCUCCACCGCCUUGCCGCUCUUGGCGCAUCAGGCCGAGCAAGGAGAAGGAGAAGAACAAUGAGAACUGA
rnacentral:rRNA from 1 species